CGGUGGCUGGCAUUGCGAAACUGGGAGGAGAAGGAAGAAGUGGAGUCUAUGGUGUUUCUCCGAGCUCCAAAGGCAUUGGGCUGCCCAGACAUACAGCAGGUAACAAGUACAAUAUAGAAGGGAUGAUGGCCUUGAAAUUGAUAAAGCUGGUACCUCUAGGCCCAGAGGGGUGAUACCCACUCUCUCCCCACUACUCAAGAAUUCUCCCUGCUAAACCAGAGUCUGCAGGCACAGCUGGAAGAGAAGGCCAGGUAACUCCCGGCCAAGAACUGCUCCAGUUGGAAUGUCUGGUAGUUCCACUUUCCCCUGGCUUUAACCCUGACCCACCCACAGGCCUUUCCUGGCUGGAAUGAUUUAGGGAGUCAGUCUGAUAUACCCUUCUAGCCAACGGCUCCCCUAAUUCCCCAGGGAGGCCAGAACCAGAUCAAAAUGUAACUGGGAAAUGUUUAACACAAU